GUCCACGCCGUAAACUAUGCAUACAAGCUGUAGUGGGAUUUUACUCCUGCUGUGGCGAAGCUAACGCAAUUAGUAUGCCGCCUGGGGAGUACGGUCGCAAGACUAAAACUCAAAGGAAUUGACGGGGGCCCCGCACAAGCGGUGGAUUAUGUGGUUUAAUUCGAAGCAACGCGCAGAACCUUACCUAGGCUUGACAUCCCUUGACAAACGUAGAAAUACGUCUUUGUAGCAAUACACAAGGAGACAGGUGCUGCAUGGCUGUCGU
rnacentral:rRNA from 1 species